CAGGCAGGCUGCCACUCUUUCCCUGUUGCACUACUGUUAAACUUGUAGCUAGCAGUGCAAUAAUGAAAGGGCGUCGGUCUGCCAG
ensembl:miRNA